GACGAACGCUGGCGGCGCGCUUAACACAUGCAAGUCGAGCGAGAACCUGGCUUCGGCCAGGGGAAAAGCGGCGAACGGGUGAGUAACACGUGGGCAACCCACCCUUGGUAUCCGGAUAGCCCGGGGAAACUCGGAUUAAUACGGAAUGGCCCAACAGCUCUUCGGGGCGGUUGGAAAAGGUAGCUUCGGCCUCCGACCAAGGACGGGCCCGCGGUGGAUUAGCUUGUUGGUGAGGUAACGGCCCACCAAGGCGACGAUCCAUAGCUGGUCUGAGAGGACGAUCAGCCACACUGGGACUGAGACACGGCCCAGACUCCUACGGGAGGCAGCAGUGGGGAAUCUUGCGCAAUGGGCGAAAGCCUGACGCAGCGACGCCGCGUGGGGAAGAA
rnacentral:rRNA from 1 species